GGCUCGGUGGCUCAGUGGUGGAUGGUCCACAUCUGCAUUACUUGAGGAAAAGGAUAUUCAUGGUGUUAACGCAGAAGGUGUCUGUUCGAUUCGGGCCCGAGCCA